UCGAGAAUCUUCCGCAAUGGACGAAAGUCUGACGGAGCGACGCCGCGUGGAGGAUGAAGUCCUUAGGGACGUAAACUCCUUUUAUAGGUUAGAAAGUUAUUGAUCAACCUAGGAAUAAGAGGUUGCUAAACUCGUGCCAGCAGCAGCGGUAAUACGAGUGCCUCAAGCGUUAUCCGGAAUUACUGGGCGUAAAGGGUGUGUAGGCGGUUCUAUUAGUCUUGUGUAAAAACUUCGCGCUUAACGCGAAAUCUGCAUAGGAAACGGUAGAACUAGAGGAUGCAAGGGGCACAUAGAACUCAUGGUGUAGGGGUGAAAUCCGUUGAUAUCAUGGGGAAUACCAAAAGCGAAGGCAGUGUGCUGGUGCAUUCCUGACGUUGAAACACGAAAGCGUGGGUAGCGAACGGG
rnacentral:rRNA from 1 species